UGCAAUUGCAAUUGCAAACCCACUUUUUCUUCAUUAGUGUAUACAAUUCUCUUUUUAAGUUUUGAAGAUUUCUCAAAAACAUUGCAACCAACUGUGGACUUUUGUUGUUUCCUUUUUAUAGUUAAGUCAUUUGAUGGCAUUUUCGUGACAACGGUUCCCCCUAAAAGUUGGAGACGGAAGUCAUCGAGUUAUGGCUAGGUGAUGGUGCAAAAGUGAUGUAGGUUAUUCUGCUAGUAAGAAAUCUGUUGUCUCGUUUUUAUGCUCACUUUUACUUGUUACCGGUGGUCCAGCGGUGGUGGUUGUUGGCAGUUAAAGGAGAUCGGUGGUUGUUCCUAUUGAUUGUUCCCGGAGAUGUUAAAAUGCGGUGAAGGAGGCUGGUGGUGGCUAUCGACAAUGGUUUAUGAGUCUGUAUGUGUAUAUGUAUUUUGUAUAGAGAUAGAAAUUGUGUAUGUUGUAUGUAUGCCUUAGAAGUUGUACUUUAUGCAAAUAAAAGAGUACUUUUAGCUGCAGUAUUA